rnacentral:tRNA from 1 species
CCCUUGGUGGUCCAGUGGUUAAGACUCUGAACUCCCAAUUCAGGGGACACAGGUUCAAUCCCUGGUUAGGGAA